UACGUAGGGGGCUAGCGUUGUCCGGAAUCAUUGGGCGUAAAGAGCGUGUAGGCGGUCCGGUAAGUCCGCUGUGAAAGUCGGGGGCUCAACCCUCGAAUGCCGGUGGAUACUGUCGGGCUAGAGUGCGGAAGAGGCGAGUGGAAUUCCUGGUGUAGGCGGUGAAAUGCGCAGAUAUCAGGAGGAACACCAAUGGCGAAGGCAGCCUCCUGGGCCAGCACUGACGCUCAUGCACGAAAGCGUGGGGAGCAAACAGG
rnacentral:rRNA from 1 species